UGGCAAGGAAAACAUGGGAAGAUAGUGCCACGCCGCCAUUAAAAGGAGUCAAGAAGAUAUUGGAGAAAAAAGAAUUCAUUUGCCCAGAUCCUUGAGAUGCUGCGACUUUGGCCCUUAGUGAACAAAGGAGAGGACUGUUUACCAGAGAUCUAAAUGGGCUUCCAGGGAAAGCACCAAAAGGCCAUGGUUCCCCUGUGCCCUUUCCACGUCCUCAGUAAUUGAAAAUUUUAUACCUGAUACCAUUCAUCAGAGGAACUGGUUCUUCGUUCUGCUUCUU